rnacentral:lncRNA from 1 species
AUGUACAUUCUCAUAAUUCCAUUCAAGAUGCCAUUAUGUUACCUCUAUAAUACAGUCCAAGCCAGGCAAGUUUUUCAUUUUAUCAUACCAAAAGACAACAGCAUGAAUAUUUUAUGGAACUUUAGACAAAAAAGGGUGAAGAGAAAAGUGACUGAAAGCAUAGGAAAAGAAGACCACAGCAGUUCAGGAGGUUACCUGCGAGAUCAUCAAGAACAUCUUUCUGCAGAGAGAGAUUAGAGAAAAUCAGAAAUAUUCAAUGCCUGGUGAGUUUCUUGUUUGUUUUGUUAAAAGAAAUAGUUACAUUAUGUCACUUUGUCAUAUUGUCAAUUACUAAAUAAAACUGACUUUUUAAAAGAAAACAUUUCCAAACUCUGCAUAAAAAGCAUUUGUCAUUAUGACCAAUACACAGUACAAAAAAUUUCACCUCACUUUCUGUCCCUGUGAUUAUUGGAUUUUGAAAAAAAGAUGUCUUGUUGUGGAAACAAUGAUUAGCGAUAAAGCUUUGGUGGAGACACCUUUUCCCCAUGAUAACUCAUUCAGCAGUUUUAGGAGUGAAUUUCUCUUUCUAGGAGCAGAUUACUCUUACUUCUUAUUGUCUCUCCCACAUUCUUAAUUAUGAGUCAUUUAUAAGUCAGAUGUUUGCAACUCAGGGAGUGUCUGUAUAUAAAUGUUGUAGAUGGGUAAUCUCUGGAUAUAGAAUCCUUUAGUACCGAAGCCUACUGUAAAUAGGCAUGAUAAAAAAUGUGAACAUACUCCAAAAAAGUCCUUAAGCAAUUGCCAGUGACCAUUAGAUAAAAGUUGUGCUACCACCCACCAAUUUGCUGUCUACACAUAGAGAAAACCAAUGAGCUCACAAUGAAAAGAAUCCUCCAAACACAUCAUCUGACAUAAUUAAACAUAAGUUGUCCCAUAAUGGCCCACAAUUCAUCAGCCCAGGGCACAGUCAUCUGUGAACUCACUACUACUAGUUUUCUUGAGACCUCUUUAUUAUGACUCCUUUUUAUGAGCACAGCACAUGAGGGAAAGGAAAGAAAUUCUACACAUCUAUCUUUUUUUGUUGUUGGCCAGCAAAAGGAGUCCAGAGAUCUCCCUGGACCUACUCAGGAAGGAAUUAUUUGUUAAAUGUUUCCAUGGCCAGAAUCACUGGGUUGCUGUGAGUUUUCCAGACCUCACAACCUCUGAGGAUGCUUGCCAUAGAUAUGGGCAAAACGCCAGGAGAGAAUGCUUUCAGAACGUGGCAAAGUGACCAAGAGUGGCCAGGGUAUGCAACAAAGCCAGUGAUGAGCAUGCAUUGUUGACAACUCAUUUUGGUAGCUCACUGUGGAAAGCUUGAGAUGGUGAAGCAGGACUAUGGGAACGUUGGAACAUCUUAAAGUAAUUUUUUAUAUUUCAGGGGGGAAAUGCCAAAAACAAUUGUGAAAAAUUGUGUACAGAACAACAUUAGUCUAACCUCUAUCCCUAAUCCUGGUUAGAAUGAUCCCAUUGAAACAAUGAGGUUUACAUACAUUCCAGCCAUUCCAAAAUGGAUUAAAUUGGUCUACUCUGGGUGGGAUUAGAAAACAUUUCUGUGCAAAACCAAACAUGACAUUCCUUUAUUUUUAUUAAAUGCAAAUGUAUUUUGUACCCAUUUUUUUUAAUUGCUUUAGCUUUUAAUAUGGUAUUUUGCUCUCAGACAAGGAAGAGAAAUUUCACGGUAGCUGACACACUUUUUUUGACAAAUCUAACCACACAUUCAUGCUCAGAACCAAAAAAAAAAAAAAGAUUCUUUACAUCCCUUGGACAGGCUGGUUCUGCUGGAGGACAUUCCAGCAAGGUUUAAAUGACACCCUUUAUACUGCCCAUCCAAUAUUAUUUGGAUCUAGUCUAAAGAAUAAUCAAGCAUGAGCCAUAUCAAAAAAAAUUUAAAUUACCAUCUCAUCCCAUGAUCAGAUCUUAGCUUUUUAACAUCUUCCCUAAUUUUCCAAGAUGUUCCAAGAGAUGGUUGAUACCAAUUUUGCCAAAAGUUUGUGACUAGGCAGAACCUGCAACUGAGUGAAAACCACUGGGCAAAAAACUGUCCCAUUUGUGUUGCCUUUUUGAAAGUAGCUCUAGGUUGGCAUAGAAGGCUAAAGAUCUUGUAAAACUAUAGCUCCCAUAAUUUCAUAGCUCCAAUAAUGCCAUAGGAUUAAAUGUGGUGUCAAGCUACAUUAAUUCUACAGUGUAGAGGCACCCUGUGAGGCCUUUUAUGCGGUGGGGGGAGCACUGAUUAUGGACUUUGCCAGACAGUUGGGAAAGUGGAGGGAAAUGUCUAAACCUGUUCCCUCUCAGCUUUCCGCAUCUUCUGGCGAUUGACACCAGUCUCCUAACAGAGGUUUUUGGGCUCUAUUUCCAUGUGCUUGGGAAACACAGCGUCACAGAGUCCCACUGGAAGUGCCCUUACAUCGCCUGAUGGCCUCCGUGGGGCUCCUGUUGGGCUCCUUUCCCAAGCACGUGCAGACAGAGUCCAAAAACCGUCUGAU